rnacentral:rRNA from 1 species
GAUGAACGCUGGCGGCGUGCCUAAUACAUGCAAGUCGAGCGAACAGACGAGGAGCUUGCUCCUCUGACGUUAGCGGCGGACGGGUGAGUAACACGUGGAUAACCUACCUAUAAGACUGGGAUAACUUCGGGAAACCGGAGCUAAUACCGGAUAAUAUAUUGAACCGCAUGGUUCAAUAGUGAAAGACGGUUUUGCUGUCACUUAUAGAUGGAUCCGCGCCGCAUUAGCUAGUUGGUAAGGUAACGGCUUACCAAGGCGACGAUGCGUAGCCGACCUGAGAGGGUGAUAGGCCACACUGGAACUGAGACACGGUCCAGACGCCUACGGGAGGCAGCAGUAGGGAAUCUUACGCAAUGGGCGAAAGCAUGACGGAGCAACGCCGCGUGAGUGAUGAAGGUCUUCGGAUCGUAAAACUCUGUUAUUAGGGAAGAACAAAUGUGGAAGUAACUAUGCACGGAUUGACGGUACCUAAUCAGAAAGCCACGGCUAACUACGUG